rnacentral:lncRNA from 1 species
UAUAAUAAAAAGAAAUAUUUGACGGUAGUUUUGAAUGAUGGCAGGCCGGUGGAGGAAAGAAAUUGACAAGGCCCAAGUCUGUUGUGGAUCUCGUCACUAACUGGGCCCACAGGACAUGAAUUGACAAAGCCCAUCACAAACAACAAAUAAUACGCACCUCCUAUCGUGGAUACCACGCGUUCACAGUCCCACGGAGAGAUAAUCAACCGUGAAAGAAAUAUCUAAUCCCACAGCUGUCGGACGAACAUCGCCACCUAAAUUCACGCGUUCCUCAUAUCACGCCUGCCAAAAACAACAAAUCGUAACGAAAUUAAUUUUAACGGAAGAUGGGUAUUAGAUAAUAUAAGGUACAGUAGAAGUAGGGCGGUAUGGUUAGUUCAUACCCAAAAAUGAGAUAAGAAAUGUAUGAACAGAUAAAGAUUCAAUAAAUGAUGAUAAAAAUCCUCAAAGAAAAGGGCUUACCUUGGUGUUGAAGGAGGAAGAAACGAGGGAGGGGGCAAGCAAAGACAAGAAAAUCUAAUGAUUUGAGAGGAAAAUGCUAAAAACUCUCCGGAGAGAUGCUUUAAUAUGUAGGGGUGGGGGAAGUGGUGGGAUAGUGGGGGCCGAUAUAUAAGGGAUAUGGGAACUGGGGAGGGACCAACUUUCCAAACUAAUCUCAAUUUGUUCACAUGCUCGUGCCCCUUCUUUAAAGUCAAUACUAUAUUUUACUCCUUCUCUUAUUAAAUAAUCAUUUUUUUUCCUC